UGCAGAACUAACCAAGAAUUUGUUCCUUGGCUGCACUUGUAUUUUUGUUGGAUAGUUAUUUAUUUCACAUAAGCACUUUGGUCAAAUGGCAAUUUGACUCCAGUUUUUGAUAUUGAUUGACAUCCUUCUCUUCCAAUCUCCCAUCUAGGCGAGAUGACUAGAGGCCUGGAGCUCCCUUGCUGAGGUGCUGGUGAGAAAGUCAAACCAUGCAAGCCUGUAUUGCAGAGUACUCUCUAUCCACUGUGGGAGCAGCUUUCCAGCUUCCCUCCCUUCUUCGGGGAUUCUCAAGCCAUCUCUCGCUGAACCUUGAAAGGAAAGCUUCAAUUAUGUAAACAACAUGGGUGAAUAACAGGCACACCCUCUUGGAGCAAGUACAGACUCCAUCCUUCUUUUGCAACCAAGCCCCAUAUCAAUGGACACCCAGCUGUCUCUCCCCUGGAGUGUCCCCGACAGUCACUAAUAGUGACAGGUUACAGCGGAUGUGUUGUGUCUAUGAUGACUACAAAGUUGGCUGAGAGCACACCAGAGUCCCUGCGAGUGGCUACAAUAACCACUGAUGCUUCUCCUCUCAAGAGCCCACCCUAUUCAUAUCUAACAGAAAUUUGACUUUUGUUCAGUUAUCCACCCUGCUCUGUGAAGUCAUGCUCUUCAGGUGCAGCUUGCUCAAACAUCGAGCCCAGGAAGCUGAGGGCUAAUUUUCUAGGUCAGUCAUGUGGAUUCUAACCUCCUUGCUGUAGUCAGUAGUUUAGGAAGAGGCAGAUGAUCAGACUGGUUACUGAGAAGAAGCUGACAUGAUCUUGAGUGCACCGUAGCUGGCAGAGAGAAGAGAAUGCAGCGUUGGGGUGGCUAUGACAUCACCGAAUUAAGCCAUCGCACAGGUGUCCUCUCCAGGGUAUAUUUUCACCACACUACUUUCCUGACAAUAACUUUCCUGUUGCUUAGCAGUGCCCCAUCCUAUUAUUUAGAGCUUAAAAAAUUUUCUGAUAGACAUUUUUCCUUUUUAAUAAAAGGCU
rnacentral:lncRNA from 1 species